GUCUAUGGCCAUGCCACCCUGAACAAGCCUGAUAUCUGAUCUCGAAAGCUAAGCAGGGUCGGGCCUGGUUAGUACUUGGAUGGGAGACCACCUAGGAAGACCAGGUGCUGUAAGCA
rnacentral:rRNA from 1 species